rnacentral:sRNA from 1 species
UGAGACUUGAAGAGGAAACUGGCGAGAAAUUGAACCCUUCAUUUCUUGACUUGGUCAGAACUCCUCAGAUACGGAAACAUACUAUGAUAUUGAUGUACAACUGGUUCACGAGCUCUGUGCUCUACCAGGGCCUCAUCAUGCACAUGGGCCUUGCAGGGGACAAUAUCUACCUGGAUUUCUUCUACUCUGCCCUGGUUGAAUUCCCAGCUGCCUUCAUGAUCAUCCUCACCAUCGACCGCAUCGGCCGCCGUUACCCUUGGGCUGCAUCAAAUAUGGUUGCAGGGGCAGCCUGUCUGGCCUCAGUUUUUAUCCCUGGUGAUCUACAAUGGCUAAAAAUUAUUAUCUCAUGCUUGGGAAGAAUGGGGAUCACAAUGGCCUAUGAGAUAGUGUGCCUGGUCAAUGCUGAGCUGUACCCCACAUUCAUUAGGAAUCUUGGCGUCCACAUCUGUUCCUCAAUGUGUGACAUUGGUGGCAUCAUCACGCCAUUCCUGGUCUACCGGCUCACUAACAUCUGGCUUGAGCUCCCGCUAAUGGUUUUUGGCGUGCUUGGCUUGGUUGCUGGAGGUCUGGUGCUGUUGCUUCCAGAAACUAAAGGGAAGGCUUUGCCUGAGACCAUCGAGGAAGCCGAAAAUAUGCAAAGACUGCUCAUCCAUUCUCCUGUCUUCAGUAUCCAUCAAAUGCUGAUGUUUCUCCCUCCCCAGACGUGAGCUCAAGCCGCAAAGCCAUCUCCCACCACCCAUUGGACAUCUUUGCUCAAAUUCAACAUGUCCUGGACAAGAUUUGUCAUUUCUUCCUUCCCAGCUUUUGCCAACUGGAACUGCUUAACUCUGCUCUUUUAUUCUUAUCCACAAGGCCUGAUCCUUUCUAAAGAUUUACUAAUAUAUCAUUUUCUUAUUUUUCUUUGGUCUGUUUUCCCCCACUAGAAAGUAACUUCUCUGAGGGCAGAGGUUUUUUGGUUUUGCUUUUGUUUUUAAUUUACUGUUGAAUCCUCAUUAUCUAAGACAGUGCCUGGCACAUAACAG